GAUUAAGUGUCGUAAGGGCAUUUGGUGGAUGCCUUGGCAUGCACAGGCGAUGAAGGACGUGAUACGCUGCGAAAAGCCGUGGGGAGCUGCGAAUGAGCUUUGAUCCAUGGAUCUCCGAAUGGGGCAACCCACCUUAAAUACCUAGAAAAUCUGUUUUGUUGCUUUCGUUGCGAGGGACUUCCUUCGUAGCGCAAAGCGCGUCGCCGGUCGUCCGGCGCGCCGUCCGCAGGCCUUUGGCCGUGAGGACAAAACAGGUUUCUAGGUAUUGUGAUAAGGUAUCUGCACCUGAAUACAUAGGGUGUAAGAAGCGAACGCAGGGAACUGAAACAUCUAAGUACCUGCAGGAAAGGACAUCAACCGAGACUCCGCAAGUAGUGGCGAGCGAACGCGGACCAGGCCAGUGGCAAUUGUGAUUAAAGUGGAACGCUCUGGAAAGUGCGGCCGUAGUGGGUGACAGCCCCGUACGCGUAGAUAUCAUGAUUGUCCUAGAGUAGGGCGGGACACGAGAAAUCCUGUCUGAACAUGGGGAGACCACUCUCCAAGCCUAAGUACUCGUGCAUGACCGAUAGCGAACAAGUACCGUGAGGGAAAGGUGAAAAGCACCCCGACAAGGGGAGUGAAAUAGAACCUGAAACCGGAUGCCUACAAACAGUCGGAGGGGGCAACCCUGACGGCGUACCUUUUGUAUAAUGGGUCAACGACUUAGUGUAACAAGCAAGCUUAAGCCGGUAGGUGUAGGCGCAGCGAAAGCGAGUCUGAAUAGGGCGAUAUAGUUUGUUGCAUUAGACCCGAAACCGAGUGAUCUAGCCAUGAGCAGGUUGAAGGUUGGGUAACACCAACUGGAGGACCGAACCCGCAUCUGUUGCAAUAGAUUGGGAUGACUUGUGGCUAGGGGUGAAAGGCCAAUCAAACUCGGAAAUAGCUGGUUCUCCGCGAAAUCUAUUUAGGUAGAGCGUCGAGCGAAUACCCCCGGGGGUAGAGCACUGGAUGGGCUAUGGGGACUCACCGUCUUACUGAUCCUAACCAAACUCCGAAUACCGGGGAGUACUACUCGGCAGACACACGGCGGGUGCUAACGUCCGUCGUGAAAAGGGCAACAACCCUAACCUCCAGCUAAGGUCCCCAAGUCAUGGCUAAGUGGGAAAGGAUGUGAGGAUCCCAAAACAACCAGGAUGUUGGCUUAGAAGCAGCCAUCAUUUAAAGAAAGCGUAACAGCUCACUGGUCUAAAUAAGGGUCUUUGCGCCGAAAAUGUAACGGGGCUGAAGCCAUGCACCGAAGCUGAGGAUGUGUAGCAAUACACGUGGUAGCGGAGCGUUCCGUAAGCUGAUGAAGGGAGACCUGUGAGGGCUCCUGGAGGUAUCGGAAGUGCGAAUGUUGACAUGAGUAACGAUAAAGAGGGUGAGAGACCCUCUCGCCGAAAGACCAAGGGUUCCUGCUUAAAGUUAAUCUGAGCAGGGUUAGCCGGCCCCUAAGACGAGGCGGACACGCGUAGUCGAUGGGAACCACGUUA
rnacentral:rRNA from 1 species